rnacentral:misc_RNA from 1 species
AACGGUCUAUACCUGCGGUACCUGCGGAGGGAUCAUUAACGCGCCGUGGAGGUUGCCUUUAAACAGGUCUGACCUUCCACCUGGCCACCCUUGUUUAUCUUUAACCUGUUGCUUUGGUGGGCCCGCUGCAAGGCCGCUGGAGAAUUUAAAAGUUUUCUGGCCCGUGCCCACCGAAGUCCUAGUGAACUCUUUGUUAAUUUUCUGCUGUCUGAGCAUUAAAAGAAACAAUUUUUAAAACUU